GAUGAACGCUAGCUACAGGCUUAACACAUGCAAGUCGAGGGGAAACGACAUCGAAAGCUUGCUUUUGAUGGGUGUCGACCGGCGCACGGGUGAGUAACGCGUAUCCAACCUGCCCACCACUUGGGGAUAACCUUGCGAAAGUAAGACUAAUACCCGAUGAUAUCCCUAGAAGACAUCUGAAAGGGAUUAAAGAUUUAUCGGUGAUGGAUGGGGAUGCGUCUGAUUAGCUUGUUGGCGGGGUAACGGCCCACCAAGGCAACGAUCAGUAGGGGUUCUGAGAGGAAGGUCCCCCCACAUUGGAACUGAGACACGGUCCAAACUCCUACGGGAGGCAGCAGUGAGGAAUAUUGGUCAAUGGGCGGAAGCCUGAACCAGCCAAGUAGCGUGAAGGACGACUGCCCUAUGGGUUGUAAACUGCUUUUAUAAGGGAAUAAAGUGGGUCUCGUGAGACUUUUUGCAUGUACCUUAUGAAUAAGGACCGGCUAAUUCCGUG
rnacentral:rRNA from 1 species